rnacentral:lncRNA from 1 species
GUCCCCAGCAGAGUCCCUGUCCCAGCUGCCCGGAUUUACCCUGACGGUGCCACCAUCAGUGUCAGUGCAGGAAGGUCUCUGCAUUCUGGUCCCCUGCACGUUCAUGUACCCAGCAUCCUAUGACACUAAGAAUUCCCAGUCCCGGCUCUACAGAUACUGGUACAAGGAUCAGGCCAUUGGGGGCUAUGAUCCGCCCGUGGCCAGCAGUGACCCCAGCCGGGGGGUGUCGCAGGAGACCCAGGGCUGGUUCCGGCUGGCGGAAAAUCCAGCGCACGGCGACUGCUCCCUGCAAAUCAGCGACGCCCGAUGGACGGAUGCGGGGAGAUAUUUCCUUAGAGUCCAGGGAGACUUUAGCUACAGUUACCGCUCCAGUAUAGACGGCACUGACCUUGUGCUCACGAUCUCCGUGACACGUAAGAGCAGCCGCAGUCACCGCUUAUCAGCCCCCUGAGCCAGCCAGUCCCCGUCCUGGGGUCAGAUCCGGGCUGAGCCCCUCGAGGGGAAAGGCCCCAUGUCCCCGACUGAUUCUCUCCCCUCUCCCCAUGUCCAGGCCUGACGGAGGAGCCAGAGAUCCAGAUCUCACCGGCACGGGGGCUGCCAGGGACGCUGCUGGCUGGGGAGCUGGUGACUGUGACCUGCACGGCCCCUGGGCGCUGCUCCGGGACCCCUCCCCGAGUCACCUGGAUGGGGCCGUUCAAUGACACAGCCCGGAACAUCUCAACCCAGCUGGCGAACAGCACCUGGGCCCACAGCUCCGCGCUCCGUUUCACGCCCAGCCUGGGGGACCACGGCAAAGAGCUCGUCUGCAACGUCACGUACAGCUCAGCACAGGGACCUUCCACCCGCAGAACCAUCCAGCUCCGUGUGGGCUCUCCCACAGGUGGCCUCACUUGGGUGUUUAUCGAAAUCAGCUGCAAACUCGUCUUCGUGGCAACUGGAUUCUUCCUGGCCUAUUACCUCACCCUGCUCUAUUACAGACGGUAACUCAGCUACCGACCCACCUACUGACCUACCCACCUAUGUACCUACCUACUCAUAUACCUACCCACCGUUCUACCCACCUAUGUAGCCACCUAGCUACCAACCCACUGACCGACCCAUCUACCCACCUACCACCGUGCCUAGCUACCUACCUACGGCUUAGCAUCCUACGCACCCACCCACCUACCAUCCAACCCACCUACCUACCUAUGUACCCAUUGAUGCACCCAUCUUCCUACCACAUGACCUAGCUCCCAACCC